rnacentral:rRNA from 1 species
UGGGGAAUAUUGCACAAUGGAGGGAACUCUGAUGCAGCGACGCCGCGUGAACGAAGAAGGCUUUCGAGUCGUAAAGUUCUUUUAUAUGGGAAGAUAAUGACGGUACCAUAAGAAAAAACCCCGGCUAACUACGUGCCAGCAGCCGCGGUAAUACGUAGGGGGCUAGCGUUAUCCGGAAUCACUGGGCGUAAAGGGUUCGCAGGCGGAAAUGCAAGUCAGGUGUAAAAGGCAGUAGCUUAACUACUGUAAGCAUUUGAAACUGCAUAUCUUGAGAAGAGUAGAGGUAAGUGGAAUUUUUAGUGUAGCGGUGAAAUGCGUAGAUAUUAAAAAGAAUACCGGUGGCGAAGGCGACUUACUGGGCUCAUUCUGACGCUGAGGAACGAAAGCGUGGGUAGCAAACAGG